UGGGGAAUUUUGGACAAUGGGCGAAAGCCUGAUCCAGCAAUGCCGCGUGUGUGAAGAAGGCCUUCGGGUUGUAAAGCACUUUUGUCCGGAAAGAAAUCCUCUGGGUUAAUACCUCGGGGGGAUGACGGUACCGGAAGAAUAAGCACCGGCUAACUACGUGCCAGCAGCCGCGGUAAUACGUAGGGUGCAAGCGUUAAUCGGAAUUACUGGGCGUAAAGCGUGCGCAGGCGGUUUUGUAAGACGGAUGUGAAAUCCCCGGGGCUUAACCUGGGAACUGCAUUCGUGACUGCAAGGCUAGAGUAUGGCAGAGGGGGGUUAGAAUUCCACGUGUAGCAGUGAAAUGCGUAGAGAUGUGGAGGAAUACCGAUGGCGAAGGCAGCCCCCUGGGCCAAUACUGACGCUCAUGCACGAAAGCGUGGGGAGCAAACAGGAUUAGAUACCCUGGUAGUCCACGCCCUAAACGAUGUCAACUAGUUGUUGGGGAUUCAUUUCCUUAGUAACGUAGCUAACGCGUGAAGUUGACCGCCUGGGGAGUACGGUCG
rnacentral:rRNA from 1 species